UCCAAACUUAUAGACUUCCCUUUUUCUCUCAUUCUCUCUCCAGAAAACUUCCCAUUGCCCCAACUCAAGAAUUGUCUUUGUUUGUCUGGGGGAGGGGGUUGGUGCUUCGGCUCCACCCACCUCCCCUCCUCACCGGCCAAGGGCCAACACGCGCCCUCCAACAACUUCUUCAGGUGCCGAUCAUCCAGUUGGAGGAAGAAAUCCACUCAUUUGUGCGGCUUGUACGCCUCACGAGCGGCGCACUCGUGGCCGCAACUUGGAGAGUUUUCUGCCGCCACGUGCGACAGUUUCGAUACCAACAACUUCAGAUCUUUAAGACUUGACUAUUCUCUUCUCUCUUGUUGUGGCGCAUGGCUUGCACGCACCGCCACCCCCAGUGUCGACCCCUUUGCCAGUGAUUCACCACAGUGUUCAGUUGCUACACUAUAUUCCUGCUUUCUCUAACCAAGGAUCAAGUGAAAGUAGUAGAUGUGAUAGUUCCUUUCAGCCAAUCCAGACCAACACGUUGCAACACACCCCUUUGUACUAUAACUUCCAACUGAAAUUUUAUAAUUUUUUUAUCAGACUUUUUUAAAACCGUCACCAAACAGUCUAUGCAUUUGGGAAUUGAGUAGGAGCCAAGUUUUUGAUUCCGUUCACUCACUUUGUUUUUUCUUUUUUGUGUUAUAAUGUAUAUUAACUUUGGAAAGAUUGUAAGAGACUCUCACUCCAUUAAACUUAUACUUAUAUUUGUUAGUUUAUCUAUAAA